rnacentral:pre_miRNA from 1 species
UCUUACGGAUGAGCAAAGAAAGUGGUUCCUUGAGAUGGCACUUCACUCCUGGUGAAGAUACUGUGAA